GAGGCGGGGCGCCUGUGGGAGCCGUGGAGGGAACUUUCCCAGUCCCCGAGGCGGAUCCGGUGUUGCAUCCUUGGAGCGAGCUGAGAGCUCGAGAUCUAAAGCUUAAGGACUAUGGAGUGGAUCUCAUUGAAGUUUCAGGCAAUGGAUGUGGGGUAGAAGAAGAAAACUUCGAAGGCUUAACUCUGAAACAUCACACAUCUAAGAUUCAAGAGUUUGCCGACCUACCUCAGGUUGAAACUUUUGGCUUUCGGGGGGAAGCUCUGAGCUCACUUUGUGCACUGAGUGAUGUCACCAUUUCUACCUGCCAUGUAUCGGCGAAGGUUGGGACUCGACUGGUGUUUGAUCACUAUGGGAAAAUCAUCCAGAAAACCCCCUACCCCCACCCCAGAGGGAUGACAGUCAGUGUGAAGCAGUUAUUUUCUACGCUACCUGUGCACCAUAAAGAAUUUCAAAGGAAUAUUAAGAAGUGAGUGAGCGCUCAUGGGAUCUGGUUGUUUAGAAGCAUGCACCACCUCCCGCUUCACUCUCUCUGUCUCUCCUGCUCCACCAUGGCCAGAAACGUGCCUGCUUCCCCUUCGCCUUCUGCCGUGAUUGUCAGUUUCCUGAGGCCUCCCCAGCCAUGCUUCCUGUACAGCCUGCAGAACUGACUCCUAGAAGUACCCCACCCCACCCCUGCUCCUUGGAGGACAACGUGAUCACUGUAUUCAGCUCUGUCAAGAAUGGUCCAGGUUCUUCUAGAUGAUCUGCACAAAUGGCUCCUCUCCUCCUUCCUGAUGUCUGCCAUUAGCACUGGAAUAAAGUUCCUGCUGAAAAUCCA
rnacentral:lncRNA from 1 species